rnacentral:rRNA from 1 species
GCUGGUGAUUAUGGCAAAGAGGAAACACACGUUCCCAUCCCGAACACGUACGUUAAGCUCUUUUGCGGCGAUGGUACUUGGGCGAUAGGCCCCGGGAGAGUAGCUCAUCGCCAGCC